rnacentral:tRNA from 1 species
GUAUGUAGUUCAGUUAGUAGAAUGAUUGCCUCGCAUACAUAAGGCCCUGGGUUCAAUCCCUAGAACCACACA